rnacentral:rRNA from 1 species
ACGCUCGACACCUACGGGAGGCAGCAGUUAGGAAUAUUGGGCAAUGGAGGAAACUCUGACCCAGCAACGCCGCGUGAAGGAAGAAGGUUUUUCGGAUUGUAAACUUCUGAUCUAGGGGAAGAAGGAAGUGACGGUACCCUAGGAGAAAGCCACGGCUAACUACGUGCCAACAGCCGCGGUAAUCUGAGCGGGCUGGCAAGGC